UAUAGAAUCUCGUGAACCAUCGAGUCUUUGAACGCAAGUUGCGCCCGAAGCUAUUAGGCCGAGGGCACGCCUACUUGGGCGUCACAAGUCGUUGCCUCCCCACCUCCUUCAAGAGUGUUGAGGGGCAAACGAUGGCCUCUCAUGCGUCACCCCGGGCGGUUGGCACAAAUGUCAAGUCCCCGACGACGGACACCACAACAAUCGGUGGUUGUCAAACCUCAAUUGCCUGUUGUGCGCUUUCGCUGUGCUCCGGGCGGCUCGCGACGCUCGCGGCUCUACUUCGGUGGAACCUUCAACGCGACCCCAGGUCAGGCGGGGUUACCCACUAAA
rnacentral:rRNA from 1 species